AUCAACCUGAAAUGUACGUAGUAGCCUAUUAUUUUGAACCUACAUUUGACAAAAGGGAGUUUGGAGUUUGGAAGCUUAUAUCAGGCCCCAAGUUAAUUCCGGAACAUAUCAUAAGGUAUGUGCAACGGCAGGGGAAGGCAGAGGUUUUCAGCAGAACACCCACCUAGCAUUGGGCUAGGUGUCAAAAUAUAGGGAGACGGCAUUUUGGGUAUUAA
rnacentral:other from 1 species